UUAAUCAAAUGGGGCUGCGGAGGAGGCAGUAUGAGAGGUUCUUAAUAAAGGUGCUAAGAAAGAAUAUAAGACAAGAAAAUAAUUAAAUAUUUUCACUGUGGAAGAAGAGAACACGAGAGGAGUCUUUGGAGCAGACAGGAGAGUUCAGUUGUUGUGAAAAGCAAGGAAUCCAUGUCCUCCAUUGCUUGGGAUCUCUAAGUCACUCGCUGGUUUUGCUGAACUGGGUCUGGGUUCCAUCCAGAAAUGGUAGAGAAUGUUUACAAAAGAAAAUACAUUCUUCAGGUUUCUGUGCUACACUGGAGCUGAAAAAAAAAAAAAAAAACUACAUUGGGAACACUAAGCAUCCUGAAAGCCAGGAAAUGG
rnacentral:lncRNA from 1 species